UACAGAGGUCUCAAGCGUUGUUCGGAUUUAUUGGGCGUAAAGAGCUCGUAGGCGGCUUGUUGCGUCGGCUGUGAAAUCCCGUGGCUUAACUGCGGGCUUGCAGCUGAUACGGGCGGGCUGGAGUUCGGUAGGGGAGACUGGAAUUCCUGGUGUAGCGGUGAAAUGCGCAGAUAUCAGGAGGAACACCGGUGGCGAAGGCGGGUCGCUGGGACGAUACUGACGCUGAGGAGCGAAAGCGUGGGGAGCGAACAGG
rnacentral:rRNA from 1 species